rnacentral:rRNA from 1 species
GACAGAGGGGGCAAGCGUUGCUCGGAAUUACUGGGCGUAAAGGGCGCGUAGGCUGCGGGGCAAGUCGGGUGUGAAAUCUCAGAGCUCAACUCUGAAACUGCACUCGAUACUGCUUUGCUUGAGGACUGGAGAGGAGAUUGGAAUUCACGGUGUAGCAGUGAAAUGCGUAGAUAUCGUGAGGAAGACCAGUGGCGAAGGCGGAUCUCUGGACAGUUCCUGACGCUGAGGCGCGAAGGCCAGGGGAGCAAACGGG